rnacentral:lncRNA from 1 species
ACAUGCCAAAAGUACUUUCCUAGGCAUUCUUUUCCUAGGAAUUUGUUUCCCAGAAAUCAUAUUCCUAGGAGGGAAAAUUCUUCCCGCGAACCAAACGAGCCCUUCAGAAAAAGUACAAGUGAAAUAAGAACAAAGGUAAGAAUGAGGAGAAAAAAUAUCAUGGACCAGCCAUAUCUCAUAGUUAUGGCAUCAGGAAUCAAAUAUGCCUGUCCUCCUUGGUUGUCUAUUCCUCCCCAAGUUCUACAUGUCAUUUCUUUCUAUCAAGCUAUGCAUCCUUGGUUAAUUCCAAGACAAAUAUCAAGCUCUUUAAUAAACUUCCACGAUGGUUUCUUUAAGCAGGACUCACCGGUGCCUCAAUCCUUCAAAAUACAUACUUGCUGUACGGAAAGUGAGCACGUCUUUUCUUUGUUGCUUGCCUCAAAACCAUCAUAGUCAAUUCUCCAUCAAUCUUCCCUAUUUCUGUGAAUACUAAACUUUUUAUAAUUUAUUCAUGUCUAACUUCUUUUCCUAUUGUACCACACAUGCUCUCAGAAUUGAGAGAGAGAGAGAGAGAGAGAGAGAGAGAGAGAGAGAGAGAG